GAUGAAGAACGUAGCGAAAUGCGAUAAGUAAUGUGAAUUGCAGAAUUCAGUGAAUCAUCGAAUCUUUGAACGCACAUUGCGCCCUCUGGUAUUCCGGGGGGCAUGCCUGUUCGAGCGUCAUUAUAACCACUCAAGCUCUCGCUUGGUAUUGGGGCUCGCGAUUCCGCGGCCCCUAAAAUCAGUGGCGGUGCCUGUCGGCUCUACGCGUAGUAAUACUCCUCGCGAUUGAGUCCGGUAGGUCUACUUGCCAGCAACCCCCAAUUUUUACAGGUUGACCUCGGAUCAGGUAGGGAUACCCGCUGAACUUAAGCAUAUCAAUAAGCGGAGGA
rnacentral:misc_RNA from 1 species